rnacentral:misc_RNA from 1 species
GAAUAUUAGCGCAUCUACUUGUAGAGCGUGACCUCCACUUUCUAACUCUGUGCAUUUAUUGGCGGAAGGACUUGAGCAAUCGAGUUCCUUCUGCGGCUCAUUUUAAAACACUAGUUAAAGUAUGUAACGAAAUAUCGAAACAAAAAAAACUUUCAACAACGGAUCUCUUGGCUUG